AUUACGAAGCCCUGAAUAAAGCCUUGCCACUUAGCGAAGUGCGUAACAGCGCGCAAGCGCGGCAUACUUACGGAGUUUCACUUGCGCGAUAAACUCAGAGCCUUUCUUCCGUCCUUGGAUCACGUGGCCCGCGGUGGUGAGUCUAUCGACAAGCCAGGGAUGGAACACUUGGCCUUCACUGUGCUGGCUGGCACUGCUUUCCGUCUGAGCUUCAUCCUCACUGAAAUAUCGCCUCGGCUCCUUUACACUAAAGAUGAGAUGGAAACAGCACAGUAAGACUGGGCCCUGGGUCCUUCACCUCUGCUGGGAAACAAGGCACCGCGCAUACAGUAGCUUGAAAUGGGAAGCAUGACUCUCCGAUCUGUCGGCCGCUUUGCUCUGCUAGCAGGUGAGCCUGCUCAACCGGGACCAGACAUCCUCUUACAGCCUUGCUCAUGGAUGUAACAGCCAGGCUGAUCGCCCUGAGCUGGUGACAACGCUGAUGCUGUGGGUAAGUUGACACUGUUGUCUACUGAGGAAUUCUCCAUCAAGCACCACAGACCACCUGACUUCAGGGUAUUCUAUGGCCAGGUCUCUGAUCUGCUGGCCCAGGAUCCAGUCUUUCUUUAACCCUGGACUUGUCACUUAGCAUAGCUGUCUGCUUCCCACCUUUGGGGAUUUACAUAAGUUGCUCUAGUUCUUUUCCUGUUUAUUGAUCCAAGCUUUUCUUUUUUUUUAAAUUUAUUUUAUUUUUAAGAGCACCGAUUGGCAUUUUGCCUGCAUGUAUUUCUAUGUGAGGUGUUAGAUUCCCUGGAACUGGAGUUACAGACAUUUGUGAGUUGCCAUGUGGGUGCUGGGAAUUGAACCUAGGACCUCUGAAAAAGCAGCCAGUAUUCUUAACUGCUGAGCCACCACUCUAGCCCCAUGAUCUAAACUUUUCACUUUUUUUUUUUUUUUUUUUUUUU